AGCAGCGAUGAUGUUUUUUCUCACGAUGGUCUUCAUAACUUUUGUGAUGAGAUUGCCUUAAGGCGUUGCUGACAGCUGCUCGGUG